AGCUUUGCACAGUGGCAAUAUCAUAGCCAAUGAGGUUUUACUGGGAGGCACGGUUAUUGCUAAUUGAAAACAUUACCUAUAUCCCUUUCCCUAAAGACAUCUUUAGUAUAUGCUUUUUCUAGU
rnacentral:snRNA from 1 species